ensembl:snRNA U6 U6 spliceosomal RNA
AUGCUCACCUUGGCAGCACAUAUACUAAAACCGAAAUGAUACAGAGAAGAUUAGCAUGGCCCCUACAAAAGGAGGACAUGCAAAUUUGCAAAACAUUCCAUGUAAAA